GCAGUUUCGUGUUGUCCAGUGAAGGCCUGUGGGCCUCAGAAUGCUGCCACUUCCUGCAGUUCCAGCCCUCUGCUGUGGUCCACUCUGAGAAUUUUGAGCAUCACAAGUUAAAACGUGAUGAGGAACUUCAGGUCCCACAACUGCCAAGGAAGAAAGAAUACAGACCAGAUCGUACAUAGUCUUCUAGCUUCAUACACACUCCACCACUAAUAUUGUUCUUCCUGGCCUCUAAUGAUCUUCCUAUUCCACGCACUUACCUUCUCAUUUAGCUACAUAAACCCCUUAUCUUCAUCCAUUACACCCCAACACUCAUCCAUCCAUAGAAUCAACUAUGCACCAAACAACACCAGUUAAGGAAGUGCCAAAGGGUCAUUGCCUUUUUCAUGAUUAGAGAAAAGCUUCAAGUCCUACGGCAUGAAGAAAUAGUAAGAAGAUGCCUGAUUUCCAUCACAACUCAAAAGCUGCCUUAUACCAACUUCUCGGCAUCUGUGGGUACUGCAGGGAGCCCAUAGUUACAGGCACUUUUUCAUAACUACAUAUAGCUGCAGGCAUUCUGAUUUAAUGCCUGGAACCUACAAUGAGGUAAGUGACAUCUCCCCUGGGUUCCACUCUUACUGAUACUACUAUUUCUUCUAUGUGAAUGUUGUUAUUCACAAGAGAAUAACAUGCAGAGAGGAGCUCAAACUGAAGAGUGCCCCAGAGCAAUGAAAUCACUGGAGAUCACAUCAUCCAUUAUCCUGGAUGACAGAUGCUACAACUAAAGUCUGCAACACUCUGAUUUACCAAUCACCAGGGAUGUAGUCAUAUGCAAGAGAUUUCAACUUACCAUGCCUCUAUUUCCUCAUCUGUAAAACAGGGAUUAGAAUAGUAUCUAACUCACAGGAUUGUGUUAAGGAUUAGAAGAGAUAGUGCAUGUACUGUGCUCAGCCCAGUGCUUGACACAGAAUAAGCGUUUGACAAAAUGGGAGCUAUAAUUGUGCUAUUUGGAAACUAGAUAACUUGUUUAACUGACACUCUACAAUUAUAAAUGUAAGGUACUGUGCAGGAGCCUCGCCAAUCUGUCCUGCCAUAACUGCAGGAUAAGAAGGGAUAGGGCUAACACUGGAGCUCCAUGUUCCCUAGAAAACCUGAGCUUCCUUCCCGUGGUCACAUGUGCAACAGGAACUCAAGUGCUCUUAAGGCAUCCCCUCCCUUAGCUAAGCUCUGCUCUCAGAAAAGACAUUGGCAGGCUGGUUCUGUGUUUAGAACUUGUCUAUCUUGGCUCUCAUCCAUUCUGUGUGUGUGUAACCAACACAAAGAGCCCUAGGUCAGAGGAUACUUCUUCAAAGCGCAUCUGGAAUGUAAAGGGUCCCUCACAGUGGACACUUGGACUAGGCCUGGACCAUCAGUACGGUGACCUCAUGUGGUCUGGCUAAAGGCAUGAGCCCAGAGGGAGUGACUUGCUCAUCGGCAGCCAGAACCUGGGCCCACACAA